AUGUCUUAUUUUUUUCCAAAUGAUAAUGUCAAAACUAAUGAGAUUCUCCAUCCACAGCAACCCCUUCCCAGAUCCUUGCUGAGUGAAGUGACUAAACUCCAUCUCUCCCACCCAUCUGGUUGGAAGCCGAAAGCCAGAAGCCCCAUGUCCCCAGCAGCAGCAGAAGCAAAGCAAUGUGUCCAGAGCAUGGAUGCUGAUACCAGACUACCUGGGUUCAAAUCACUGCUCAGUCAUCUGCUGUGUGACUUGGGAUAAGUAAGCCUUUCUGUGCUUCAGUGUCUUCAUUUGUAGAAUGCAGCUCAUGGAGUCUAGUCUAAAAUCAUAGGGUAGCUGUGAAGAUUACACGAGUGAAUAUGUAUCAAGAGCUUCUGACAGUGCUUGAGUAACCAUCUAGUAAGACUUUAUGAGGUGGGGUAAGGAAAGAUAAAGAAAUGGAGAUUCAGGAAAGUGAGUGCAGGAGCUGCCAUCCUGGCUCUGUGUGGCUGAUUCCAAAGCCCCUGUAUGAGGAUCCACAGUGGAAACUAUCCUGAGCUUUUACCAACAACCAAAUGGAGCUGAGAAGAUGUAUCUGCUUCUGCUUCUGCGAAUCUCUGCCUCUGAACCUCCCAGCUGCACCUGCCCUCUCCAUUCCCCCAGCUGACGCAGAAAGAGAACAAUGGCAUCUUUGGGUGCUAUCCUCCCUGCAAGUUGGCCCUCACUGUCAUCAACCCUAAUGGUUGUGCUGCUCUAUCUCUCUAUGCUCCUCCAGAAACUCCCCCAAAUCCCUCUAGUGUCUUUGCUCCAAGGGGGGAUUCUAGGGCCUUCAAGAACAGCAGACAAGUAGGAGUGUUACUGAAAAGAAGGUGCUGCAAAGGAGUCAGCAAAGAGUGUGCUCUUGCUGGCACCCUGGGGAAGAUGUCUGGGUGGAGGGAUUCGUCUGGACCUCACAUGAGUGCCUCUUCCUUCUGGCAUCCCUUGAUGGUCCUUGAGUAUCAUGCCCACAUGUUCUGAUUCUGUAUACAAUCCAGGAGCAGGAUGUCUUUGCUGUAAAAACCUUGAACAACUGAGGGAGGUUUUAACGAUUUAAUAGGUAUCUCAGGUUGCUUCAACCCUGGCUUCUUGCCCUGACAGCAGCUUCUGGGUGAGUCUGAGGUUCAUUCAAUCUGUAAAGUGCUUUAUAUACAGCACUUCAAGGAAGGGAGAGGUGUUCCCCAGGGAAAGAGUAGGAGACUGUGGUGAGCUGUGGCAUCCUUUGCUAUAGAUACCUAGAAACAAUCUUGCUGGUCUCAGGCCAACUCUGCACCUUCUAACCCCCCACUCCCCUCCCCCCAGGGACUGGUGGUCCUGUUCCCUGCUUCUGGCACCAUCUAUUGCUCCAUUUCCCAUAAACCCUGGAGAAUAGAUUGCGUUCCUCCCUCCCCCUGAAGAACUUAGCCUUUAGGAGAGUUUCUUUCUUUCUUUUUAAAUUUUUAAUUUAAAUUCAAUUUGCCAACAUAUUGUAUAACACCCAGUGCUCAUCCCAUCAAAUGCCUUCCUUAGUGCCUGUUGCCCAGUCUCCCCAUCCCCCCACCCUUUAGGGGAGUUUUUUCUUUUUUUUUUUUUUUUAAGAUUUUAUUUAUUUAUUCAUAGAGACACAGAGAGAGAGAGGCAGAGACACAGGCAGAGGGAGAAGCAGGCUCCAUGCAGGGAGCCCGAUGUGGGACUCAAUCCCAGGUCUCCAGGAUCACGCCCUGGGCUGACGGUGGCACUAAACCGCUAAGCCCCUGGGGCUGCCCUUUAGGGGAGUUUCUAAGGGGGUUGAGUGUAACUAGCCAUCAGAAAGCAACAGUAAGUACAGUUUUCAGAAAUAAAGGGAAACUUUUAGUGUUUCAAGACACUUAAAUGAUGCACUGGAAACAAAAGUCUUGCAUUAGGAUUUAAAUUCAAUUCCUUAAGUGGCUUUUUGCAUUUUUUCCAUCUCAUGUUAAUCUGACUACAACCUUAUCUUCUCUGUCCACUUCUAAGAAGUCUUCUGUGCAGAGUGGAAGGAUGAAGCCCAUGCCUGCUUGGCGUGGGACAGGCUCACCAGCUUCAUCUCUCUGGAUAUCUCUUGCAGCUGAUGGGAUGAGGCAAGCCUCUCAAGAGACG
rnacentral:lncRNA from 1 species